UACGUAGGGUGCAAGCGUUGUCCGGAAUUAUUGGGCGUAAAGAGCUCGUAGGCGGUCUGUCGCGUCGGCUGUGAAAACCCGGAGCUCAACUCCGGGCCUGCAGUCGAUACGGGCAAACUGGAGUGUUGCAGGGGAGACUGGAAUUCCUGGGUGUAGCGGUGAAAUGCGCAGAUAUCAAGGAGGAACACCGGUGGCGAAGGCGGGGUCUCCGUGGGCAACAACGUGA
rnacentral:rRNA from 1 species